rnacentral:rRNA from 1 species
GUACACUCCUACGGGAGGCAGCAGUGGGGAAUAUUGGACAAUGGGCGCAAGCCUGAUCCAGCCAUGCCGCGUGAGUGAUGAAGGCCCUAGGGUUGUAAAGCUCUUUCACCGGUGAAGAUAAUGACGGUAACCGGAGAAGAAGCCCCGGCUAACUUCGUGCCAGCAGCCGCGGUAAUACGAAGGGGGCUAGCGUUGUUCGGAUUUACUGGGCGUAAAGCGCACGUAGGCGGACUAUUAAGUCAGGGGUGAAAUCCCGGGGCUCAACCCCGGAACUGCCUUUGAUACUGGUAGUCUUGAGUUCGAGAGAGGUGAGUGGAAUUCCGAGUGUAGAGGUGAAAUUCGUAGAUAUUCGGAGGAACACCAGUGGCGAAGGCGGCUCACUGGCUCGAUACUGACGCUGAGGUGCGAAAGCGUGGGGAGCAAACAGGAUGAGAAACCCCAGUAGUCCCAUGA